rnacentral:rRNA from 1 species
UUGAUUAUGGCUCAGGAUGAACGCUGGCGGCGUGCUUAACACAUGCAAGUCGAGGGGCAGCAUAAUGGAUAGCAAUAUCUAUGGUGGCGACCGGCGCACGGGUGCGUAACGCGUAUGCAACCUACCUUUAACAGGGGGAUAACACUGAGAAAUUGGUACUAAUACCCCAUAAUAUCAUAGAAGGCAUCUUUUAUGGUUGAAAAUUCCGAUGGUUAGAGAUGGGCAUGCGUUGUAUUAGCUAGUUGGUGGGGUAACGGCUCACCAAGGCGACGAUACAUAGGGGGACUGAGAGGUUAACCCCCACACUGGUACUGAGACACGGACCAGACUCCUACGGGAGGCAGCAGUGAGGAAUAUUGGUCAAUGGACGCAAGUCUGAACCAGCCAUGCCGCGUGCAGGAUGACGGCUCUAUGAGUUGUAAACUGCUUUUGUACGAGGGUAAACGCAGAUACGUGUAUCUGUCUGAAAGUAUCGUACGAAUAAGGAUCGGCUAACUCCGUGCCAGCAGCCGCGGUAAUACGGAGGAUUCAAGCGUUAUCCGGAUUUAUUGGGUUUAAAGGGUGCGUAGGCGGUUUGAUAAGUUAGAGGUGAAAUUUCGGGGCUCAACCCUGAACGUGCCUCUAAUACUGUUGAGCUAGAGAGUAGUUGCGGUAGGCGGAAUGUAUGGUGUAGCGGUGAAAUGCUUAGAGAUCAUACAGAACACCGAUUGCGAAGGCAGCUUACCAAACUAUAUCUGACGUUGAGGCACGAAAGCGUGGGGAGCAAACAGGAUUAGAUACCCUGGUAGUCCACGCAGUAAACGAUGAUAACUCGUUGUCGGCGAUACACAGUCGGUGACUAAGCGAAAGCGAUAAGUUAUCCACCUGGGGAGUACGUUCCC